rnacentral:rRNA from 1 species
GCAAGUCGAGGGGUAACAGGAGAGCUUGCUCUCGCUGACGACCGGCGCACGGGUGCGUAACGCGUAUGCAAUCUACCUUCAACUGAGGGAUAGCCCGAGGAAACUCGGAUUAAUACCUCAUAAUUUUAGUUAAUGGCAUCAUUAACUAAUUAAAGCUCCGGCGGUUGAAGAUGAGCAUGCGUGACAUUAGUUAGUUGGUAAGGUAACGGCUUACCAAGACUACGAUGUCUAGGGGUUCUGAGAGGAUGAUC